GCAGCAGCCGCGGUAAAACGGAGGGAGCCAGCGUUGUUCGGAAUUACUGGGCGUAAAGCGCGCGUAGGCGGUUAUUCAAGUCAGAGGUGAAAGCCCGGGGCUCAACCCCGGAACUGCCUUUUAGACUGCAUCGCUUGAAUCCAGGAGAGGUGAGUGGAAUUCCGAGUGUAGAGGUGAAAUUCGUAGAUAUUCGGAGGAACACCAGAGGCGAAGGCGGCUCACUGGACUGGUAUUGACGCUGAGGUGCGAAAGCGUGGGGAGCAAACAGGAUUAGAUACCCGCGUAGUCCCUGUCUCUUAUAA
rnacentral:rRNA from 1 species